rnacentral:rRNA from 1 species
CCCUUAGAUGUUCUGGGCUGCACGCGCGCUACACUGAAGCGUUCAACGAGUAUUCACCUUGCCCGGGAGGGUUGGGUAAUCUUUUGAAAACGCUUCGUGAUGGGGAUAGAUUAUUGCAAUUAUUAAUCUUCAACGAGGAAUGCCUAGUAAGCGCAAGUCAUCAGCUUGCGUUGAUUACGUCCCUGCCCUUUGUACACACCGCCCGUCGCUCCUACCGAUUGAAUGGUCCGGUGAAGCGCUCGGACCGCGGCCUCUUGACGGUUUUCCGUCGAUUGGCUGUGGGAAGUUCGUUAAACCUUAUCAUUUAGAGGAAGGAGAAGUCGUAACA